rnacentral:rRNA from 1 species
ACGAACGCUGGCGGCUGCUUAACACAUGCAAGUCGAACGGAGUGGCGAACGGGUGAGUAACGCGUGAGCAACCUGCCUAUGACAGUGGGAUAGCCUCGGGAAAACGGGAUUAAUACCGCAUAGUCAUAGAUGGGCUCGCGUCUGAUUAGCUAGUUGGUGAGAUAACAGCCCACCAAGGCGACGAUCAGUAGCCGGUCUGAGAGGAUGAACGGCCACAUUGGAACUGAGAAACCGUCCAAACUCCUACGGGAGGAAGCGGGGGGGAAUAGUGCACAAUGGGGUAAACCCUGAAGCAGCGACGCAGCGUGAACGAAGAAGGUAUUCGUAUCGUAAAGUUCUUCCCUAUGGGAAGCAGUACCAUAGAAGAAAGCUCCGGCUAAAUACGUGCCAGCAGCCGCGGUAAUAC